UACAGAGGGUGCGAGCGUUGUUCGGAAUUACUGGGCGUAAAGAGCUCGUAGGCGGUUUGUCGCGUCUGCUGUGAAAACUCGGGGCUUAACUCCGGGCCUGCAGUGGGUACGGGCAGACUAGAGUGCGGUAGGGGAGACUGGAAUUCCUGGUGUAGCGGUGAAAUGCGCAGAUAUCAGGAGGAACACCGGUGGCGAAGGCGGGUCUCUGGGCAGUAACUGACGCUGAGGAGCGAAAGCGUGGGGAGCGAACAGG
rnacentral:rRNA from 1 species